UACGAAGGGGGCGAGCGUUGUUCGGAUUUACUGGGCGUAAAGGGCGCGCAGGCGGCCAUUCAAGUCAGGUGUGAAAGCCCCGGGCUCAACCUGGGAGGUGCGCUUGGGACUGGGUGGCUUGAGAUCGGGAGAGGAGCGUGGAAUUCCCAGUGUAGAGGUAAAAUUCGUAGAUAUUGGGAAGAACACCGGUGGCGAAGGCGGCGCUCUGGACCGAGACUGACGCUGAGGCGCGAAAGCGUGGGGAGCAAAC
rnacentral:rRNA from 1 species